rnacentral:rRNA from 1 species
UACGUAGGGAGCAAGCGUUGUUCGGAUUUACUGGGCGUAAAGGGCGCGUAGGCGGCGCGGUAAGUCACUUGUGAAAUCUCUGAGCUUAACUCAGAACGGCCAAGUGAUACUGCAGUGCUAGAGUGCAGAAGGGGCAAUCGGAAUUCUUGGUGUAGCGGUGAAAUGCGUAGAUAUCAGGAGGAACACCGGUGGCGAAGGCGGGAUCCUGGGCCAGUACUGACGCUGAGGAGCGAAAGCGUGGGGAGCAAACAGG